rnacentral:lncRNA from 1 species
GCAAUCAGACUCCUAUCGGGCUUCACCAAUAAAAAGUCUCCAUCCGAGCUUCCACAGCAGAUGACUCCCACCUGUAGUAUCAACGCCUAAGGUAUCCGACAACAGUAGACUCGUUAGCAUCUUCGAAGACAUCCGAGCUUCUCCCAGAUCGAUGGGAUAGAGAGCCAUUCUGCUCCAUCAGAUGUCCCAGUCGAACUCCAGCCGAC